GCUUUACUGUAGCCUGGAAUUGGGUUCGGGCUUUAACUGCGCAGGAUAGGUGGGAGACUAUGAAGCUGCCCUUGUGGGGGUAGCUGAGUCAACGGUGAGAUACCACUCUGUUAAGGCUAGAAUUCUAACCGAUAGCCGUUAUCCGGCAUCGGAACAGUUUCAGGUGGGCAGUUUGACUGGGGCGGUCGCCUCCUAAACGAUAACGGAGGCGCACAAAGGUUCCCUCAGGCUGGUUGGAAAUCAGCCAAAGAGUGUAAAGGCAUAAGGGAGCUUGACUGUGAGACUGACAAGUCGAGCAGGGUGGAAACACGGUCUUAGUGAUCCGACGGCACUGAGUGGAAGGGCCGUCGCUCAACGGAUAAAAGUUACUCUAGG
rnacentral:rRNA from 1 species